GACCACGUAGCUCAGUUGGCAGAGCAUUGGGCUAGUAUUCCAAAGGUCGUAGGUUCGAUUCCCACCGUGGCCG